AUACGUAGGUGGCAAGCGUUGUCCGGAUUUAUUGGGCGUAAAGCGAGCGCAGGCGGUUUUUUAAGUCUGAUGUGAAGCCUUCGGCUCAACCGAAGAAGUGCAUCGGAAACUGGAAAACUUGAGUGCAGAAGAGGACAGUGGAACUCCAUGUGUAGCGGUGAAAUGCGUAGAUAUAUGGAAGAACACCAGUGGCGAAGGCGGCUGUCUGGUCUGAAACUGACGCUGAGGCUCGAAAGCAUGGGUAGC
rnacentral:rRNA from 1 species